rnacentral:rRNA from 1 species
AGAGUUUGAUCAUGGCUCAGAAUCAACGCUGGCGGCGCGCUUAACACAUGCAAGUCGCACGAGAAAGGGGGCAACCCUGAGUACAGUGGCGUACGGGUGAGUAACACGUGGAUUAUCUACCUUUUAGUGGGGAAUACCCCUGGGAAACCGGGGACAAUACCGCAUAAGCCCGCAAGGGGAAAGCAGCAAUGCGCUGAAAGAGGAGUCCGCGGCUGAUUAGCUAGUUGGCGGGGUAAUGGCCCACCAAGGCGAAGAUCGGUAGCCGGCCUGAGAGGGCACACGGCCACACUGGCACUGAAAUACGGGCCAGACUCCUACGGGAGGCAGCAGUGGGGAAUCUUGCACAAUGGAGGCAACUCUGAUGCAGCGACGCCGCGUGAGCGAUGAAGCCCUUCGGGGUGUAAAGCUCUUUCGACGGGAACGAUAAUGACGGUACCCGGAGAAGAAGCUGCGGCUAACUACGUGCCAGCAGCCGCGGUAAUACGUAGGCAGCAAGCGUUGUUCGGAAUUAUUGGGCGUAAAGAGUGCGUAGGCGGUGUUCCAAGUCUGUCGUGAAAUCUCCCGGCUUAACUGGGAGGGUGCGGCGGAAACUGGAAUGCUAGAGGGUGGGGGAGGUAAGCGGAAUUCCUGGUGUAGCGGUGAAAUGCGUAGAUAUCAGGAGGAACACCUGGUGUAGACAGCUUACUGGACCACUUCUGACGCUGAGGCACGAAAGCGUGGGUAGCAAACAGGAUUAGAUACCCUAGUAGUCC